AGCUAUUCCUAAAUCAAUGGUUGUAUGACCAAGUUUUUCUUUCGAGAAUGCCAUGCAUUGUCGGAGUGAAACCCUGGAUUGCAUCAGAUCGUUGGGUAUGCAAGAAAAAACAUCUUGGUAUAUCAUGGUAUUUGUCCUAGCAGUUGCCAUCCAAAUAUCCUUAUACGUCGGAUCAAUCACAGGGUCCUUAAUUUGACCAACCUCGCCUGAACGAAGACCAAGGUGCUCAGACCAUAGAGAAAGGCGAAGAGUUAAUGCAAAUUUUCCCGCCUUCCUUGGCUUGCCUCCCAUGAAUGAAUCAACGAACUCCUUGUCCUCGAUAAGUACACCAAUCUCGGAGUCUCUUGAACCAAGCAAGCUUCGGUCAUUUAUAUUUCCAGAUCCAAUCAAGGCUGCAUGGUCAUCAACUAUCAUGAUCUUGCUAUGCACAUAGAUCUGGCUAGUUGCAAUAGGACCACCAUCAAAGAGCCUUCCAUAAGCUCUGAGACCAUAAAAUGAUAUAUAGUCGUGCAUUCUAGAGCCCAUGAGGUCAUUAAGAUUAUGCAAUAUUGAAUUAGAUCCCCUGCAUAUUGUUCGAUAUUGCCAAUGCAUAAUAGCUCUAACUGAAGCAGCACCACUAUCAUCCAAACCACCCUGGAAGCCAGGAAGAAGUGGAAUCACAAUGAUUACCCUGAAGGACUUUUUUUCAUUAUAUGCUCGCAUAAUACGCCUGUACAGUGCUUCUAGAACACGAUUUUUUAUAAUAUCAUCUCCAGAUAGACCAGAAAUG
rnacentral:misc_RNA from 1 species